AACGCACAUUGCGCCCGCCAGUAUUCUGGCGGGCAUGCCUGUUCGAGCGUCAUUUCAACCCUCAAGCCCCUCUGGGCUUGGUGUUGGGGAUCGGCCGCAGCGUACCCCGCCGCGGCCGGCCCCGAAAUUCAGUGGCGGCCACGCUGUAGCGUCCCCUGCGUAGUAGCAACACCUCGCACUGGAUCGCGGCGCGGCCCCGCCGUAAAACCCCCAACUCUGAAUGUUGACCUCGGAUCAGGUAGGAAUACCCGCUGAACUUAA
rnacentral:misc_RNA from 1 species